rnacentral:rRNA from 1 species
UACGUAGGUGGCAAGCGUUGUCCGGAUUUAUUGGGUUUAAAGGGUGCGUAGGCGGUUGAUUAAGUCAGUUGUGAAAUACGGCAGCUUAACUGUCGAGGUGCCAUUGAUACUGCGGGACUUGAGUACAGACGAGGUAGGCGGAAUUGACGGUGUAGCGGUGAAAUGCUUAGAUAUCGUCAAGAACACCGAUAGCGAAGGCAGCUUACUAGACUGAAACUGACGCUGAGGCACGAAAGUGUGGGGAUCAAACAGG